GUUAGGCAUUCCAUAAGCUGAAAGGUUGACGAGCUGAAAAUUUGGAGUCUGGUUUGUCACUUUUUGGAGAGCAAAAUAGAAACUACCCAGUACCAGUAUGCUAAAGCCAGUCACACUACUGUCUUCUCAGUGUAAGAAUUCUGUGACCAAGUUAUUAUGCAAAGGAUGCUUAAACCAGCUACAGAAAACACAGUCAAGGACCGCAUUCAACAUCUUCCAGAAAUGGGGUAAAAAGACAGAACCAGUUUCACCAAGUAAUUACUCAGUGGUCAAAGCAGGAAAGGUGAGUCCAAUUAGGACAGUCCCAGAAGAAAUAGAGAUGCCAGAUUAUGCACAUUCUGGCAUUCCAAUGAUGGCUCCGCAGAGAAAGGUUUUCCUAUUAGAUCGUGCUUCUAUUGAAUGUAUGAGAGAGGCCAGUAGAUUAGGUCGCAAACUUCUAGAUCUUACAGCAUCGUGUAUAGAGGUUGGAGUCACAACAGAUCAUUUAGAUGAAGUUCUUCACCAAGCCUGCAUAGAUAACAAAGCAUACCCUUCCACUCUCAACUACAACUCCUUUCCCAAGUCAUUAUGUACAUCAGUCAACAAUGUGAUGGUCCAUGGUAUACCUGACGAUAGACCUCUUGAAGAUGGCGAUAUUAUCACUGCAGACAUCACGGUAUACUUAAAUGGUUUCCAUGCCGAUCUAUCAGAAACGUACCAAGUAGGAAAUGUAGAUGAUGCUGGUAAACACCUCAUUGAAUAUGCUAAGAAAUGCAGAGAUGAAGCAAUCAAAGUAUGCGGACCAGAUGUUCCCAUCAGUGCUAUUGGAAAUACGAUAUCGAGGAUAGCAGCAGAAGGCAACUACUACGUAUGUCCAUCUUUUAUAGGCCAUGGAAUCAACACAUAUUUUCACUGUAAACCUGAUAUUUGGCACUAUGCAAAUUCCUAUCCCGAGAGAAUGGUAGCUGGUAUGACGUUUACAAUAGAACCUGUUAUCUUAGAGAGAGUAGAUAGGAUGGUUACAGGGAAUGAUAACUGGACAGUAUAUGCCCAAAAUCAUACAAGAUCAGCCCAGUUUGAACACACAGUCCUGAUAACAAAAUCAGGUUUUGAGGUCUUGACAGCUGGAAAAGAUGAGGACUUCACCAUCACAGCCAAAGAAGAGUCUGUAUCAAUGGCUGAGGAUCAAGCAAAAUCACUUCAGAAAGAUGAUUGGACGUUUGAUCAGAAAACGUGAUAUCAAUGGCAAACCUGGAAUAAUAUAGAGCUUACUUCUUGCGCAUGUAUCCCACAAACAGCGAUCGAGAGUGGUGCUGGAAAAGCGGUUUAUUCAGUCGAUGAAAGCUGUUUGAUGAAAGAGCACUUCUAUAUUUAUGGUUUGCUGUCUCAACUUCAACUUGCCUUUUCUUUCUAUCUUUAUUAGAUGUUAACCUACUGUCGCUCCUGUGGUCUUCGUUGUGAAAAUAUACCGCUAUGGUCGAAUCUGCCAGCAAAAGGGUAGCAUUUUUUCUCGUGCAUGUGACGUGCGUAUAAUAACAAGUGAGGAUUGACGAUUCAGUGAAAUCUGAGACCGAGCUGAUUUAUAAAAGCUUUCCAUAUCCCCGGGAAAGGAGCUAAUGCCAUUCAACUAGAUUGGCAGGAUACGGCAUCUACUGAAUGGCCAUGACAUUCACCAAGUAUAAUACCAGAUUCAGGAAAGGGGGAAUAGGUGUAUAAAGAAGAGGGCACUAAACAGUUUGCACACAAACUCUCAAUGUAAGGUUCGUACUGGUUUUUAUAUCUAUAAUAUUCAUGUAAGACCUUGCUGACGUCUAAGAUGGAAUGGAGGAAAAUUUGAUUUCAGCUUCAUGACAUACCUGGCAAAUUUUUCAUCCUUUCAAAGGAUGAUCAUCUCGAAUAUGUCGACCACUGACCCAUAUAUUCCUCUUGACUGCAGGGAGCAAAGUAAUCGCGACAUCGCAGACAUCGUAAUUGCCAUCUUAGACAUUCUUCUGUGUCUUUUAGCUGUCCUGUGUAACGGCACUGUGGUAUUUAUAUUGUACAGGAAACCCAAGCUAAGGAGUAAAUCAAACAGCCACCUCAUGAAUUUAGUCAUCGGAGAUUUCAUGUAUUGCCUUACCCUUCCGCUGACCGUGGCGAGCUGUCUACAGGGUGGUUGGACGUACGGAUUUGUUUUCUGUCAGAUUCAUGGCUUCUUCAUGCUCUGGGCCAUAAUAGGCAUUGAAUUCAUAUUUCCAAUCUUGGCAAUUUAUCGGCUAAUCGUCAUGUCAAGGUCGCAGAAUAGAUUUGCAGAGUUUUACAAGUCUCAGACCCUUGCAUUGUAUUUGGUAACCUGGAUCCUUGCUGGGCUCUGUGCUCUUCCGCCACUGGUAGGUUGGGGAAGUCUGACACCAUGCGAUGGGUUAAACAAAUGCUUUGUAAGGUUUAGUGACACGGAAUCUUACGUCAUAUUCCUAAUUAUUAUUACAACCGUCAUUCCACUCAUCACCAUGGCAUUUUGCUACACCAAAGUUAUUAUCACUGUUCGCCAAAGUUCCAAGCGAGUUCAGCAUACCACAAACAACAUAUUGUCAGCCUCUGUUGCUUCCUUAGCCGUGUGUGAUGACCAAAGUACCCUUCGUGUCCCUUCACCUGCGCCUCCUGUCUUGUACACAGACAGAGAUUUCUUGCCUUUGCCACCUCGGCAGAACUUACCCAAAUCAAACGUCAAUCAACGAAGAUCAAGUCUUGCUUCGGCAACGGGAGGCCGAUCACGGGACAAUGCUCGACGCUUCUCUCUUGCUUCUAUCGCCUCAUCCACCAUGUCCAGCGUCCGACCCAGCGAACAGCGCCUAGGUCGAUCCCUUGCACUGAUAAUAGCGUCUUAUCUUUUCUCCUGGGUACCCGUCAUUGUCUUCACAUUACAGGCAACCUUUAAACCAAACACACCACCCGACUUCUGUAUAAAAAUGAUCCAAAUGUUCCUAUAUCUACAUGUGGCAAUGAACCCUCUGGUGUAUGGUCUUCUAACUGAUCCACUGCGGAGCGUCCUCUCUGGAUAUUUUAGACGAGGACGCCUCGGAAGCUCUCAGGAGUCACAGCGUUGGGUACCACCAUCAGUAGCCCCAAGUACUCAUCAACCAAAGAAUUCUGAUAAAACAGCUACAAAUUCCGUGGCAUGGAAAGAAAACGAUGAGAACAUUUCGGCGCCGACCUACUCUGGACAUCCAGGGACGAAUCAAGGAAACACCGGAAAGACAGUCGUCAUCAGCCCUGUAUCAGUCUUGUCGACAUCUUCAAAUGUUGAGAGUAAUUUUGUUAGUGACAUUCCAGAUGGGAUGACGCCACAAACAGUUACAAGAUUGUCUGAAAACUGUGAACCACUAAGUGUUAGUGACUGUUGAUAUCUAAUUUUAGCGUUUAAAUGGAAACCAGUAACAUCGUUUUUACUUUAUUAUCAUAAGUACUUUCUUUGCAUCAUGGGAAAGGAGGACCCUUAUGAUAUUCAACUUAAAACAUGUAACGCUUGAUAUGUUCUCAUGAAUCCACUGACAUAAUUUUUUUUUUUUUUUUGGGGGGGGAAUUUAUUUAUAAGUUUCUAUUCUGAAAGAAAGGCUCUCUAGAUACAACGGUUAGUAUUGAUUCUAUUGACCAAAAUCCGAGGCAAAUUUCAUAUACACGCAACUUAGAAAACCUGAAAAAAUUAAGUUUAAGUUGGGGUUAUUCCAAAUAAAAGCGUAUGAUCGGAUUCGGAACGCCGAUAUAUAGUGGACAUAAAUUACCAUCGACAAUGAAACUGUAAUUAAGAUUAUAACAUAAUACCCCUGUAUGAAGAGUACUAUUACUUUAGUUACACGUACUUUGCCAAUGGUUUACGCCAGGUUUGCAACAUAGACAUUGUGAGUGUGCCCGUCUAAAUAACUGAAAUACAAGUAACAUUUUUUGUACCAAAAGAAUGUGGAUAUGGUUUACUCCCUUUUUAGUUAUUUUCAGCUUCUCAUGCAAUCAUGUCUCAGUUGCCCAUAGAGAUGAGAUUAGUCAAUCAGAAAUUAUUGAUGGAUAUGUGAUGAGAUUGAAUUUGUAAGAUUUAGCAUACAUAGAGAACCUGCCGAAUGAAACCGAAGAAGCAAGUCUUAACUGAGGACCAUUCAAUACCACAAAUUGACUGACCCGUAAACCGUAUUUUCGAGGACUUCCUCGCAAAUUUUCAAAUAAAUAUACACGCCAGAUUUGAAAGGAACGAGAUAUUCGGCGAAUAGUGACGGAACACUGAACUGGAUCUUUUAAGAAUUGAAGUUUAGAUAUUUUGUCCUUUAUCGACAAAGUUUAGGUGUAUUUUUAAAUGGUGCGCAUUUUGCGCUCUGCAAAGCGAACAUUGAAACUUGUCGUUUAGGGUUUUCCUUUACUUCUAGUAGAUGGAGAAGAUCAAACCGUUUCUGAUGAUUCUUAUGCAUUCCGUCACGAUUUCUUUGGCGUCAUUCUAGAGAAUUUAUAUCGCAUAAGGAUCUCAGCAAGCGAUUAUCUUUAUUUUUUGAUCUG
rnacentral:misc_RNA from 1 species